rnacentral:rRNA from 1 species
GAUGAACGCUGGCGGCGUGCCUAAUACAUGCAAGUCGAGCGAACGGACGAGAAGCUUGCUUCUCUGAUGUUAGCGGCGGACGGGUGAGUAACACGUGGAUAACCUACCUAUAAGACUGGGACAACUUCGGGAAACCGGAGCUAAUACCGGAUGAUAUUUUGAACCGCAUGGUUCAAAAGUGAAAGACGGUCUUGCUGUCACUUAUAGAUGGAUCCGCGCUGCAUUAGCUAGUUGGUAAGGUAACGGCUUACCAAGGCAACGAUGCAUAGCCGACCUGAGAGGGUGAUCGGCGACACUGGAACUGAGACACGGUCCAGACUCCUACGGGAGGCAGCAGUAGGGAAUCUUCCGCAAUGGGCGAAAGCCUGACGGAGCAACGCCGCGUGAGUGAUGAAGGUCUUCGGAUCGUAAAACUCUGUUAUUAGGGAAGAACAUAUGUGUAAGUAACUGUGCACAUCUUGACGGUACCUAAUCAGAAAGCCACGGCUAACUACGUG